GAAAGGAUCUGAACACACUUUUGUGUAAUAUGCUGCGACGAUUGGUGGGCGAUGAGGUGGCCGAAGUGUGCAAUCUCUGUGGAACCUCAACAAAAGGCCGGUGCCAAAUUCAAGAUCAUAGAACAGAUACAGAUGGACAUCAGCUUAUAUUUUUGUUGUUCUGUCAACAUUAUUGUGCAUCUGCAUUAUACUUGUACCCUAGGCAUAUACUAUAAGUUAUUCUCUGGUUUAUUACAAUAUCAUAUUUAAAAUGUUUUAAUACCUGGAACAUUUGAAGCCUAAUAAAAGUUUAAAUUAC